CUUACACAGACACAUAAACUGACAGACAUACUGACACAUACAUACUGACAUAUGGACACCGACACAUACACUGACAGACAUACUGGCACACACAGACACAUACUACCACACACCCAGACAGACAUAGUGGCACACACACACACACAGACAUACUGACACACACAGGCAUACUGACACCCAAACACACUGACACACAUGGACCUACUGACAGACACACACACACACACAGACCUACUGACAGGCACACACACACAGACAUACUAACAGACACACACACACACACACACA